rnacentral:tRNA from 1 species
GGCGGGAUAGCUCAGUUGGCUAGAGCAAUCGGUUCAUACCCGGUCGGUCGUGAGUUCGAGUCUCACUCCCGCUACCA